UUUUUUUUUUUUUUUUUUUUUUGGCAUAUACUGCAAAAGGUAUCAGGCUUUCUUUACAAUCUUUCCCCAAAGAACUGAGUGCCUGCUGGCCUAAUCUUCACAAAACUAAGGAAAGUCACUCCACUACUUUCCCUGUGGUCUGCUCCUCAGUGACUCGCUAACUUAUCUUCCAGAUAAAGGUCUGAUCUAAUUAUUGUCUAUAUUCUGCCGUAAUUGUGCAUCCAAUUCUAUUGGGUUAAGAAAGUACACCUCCCUUGAUCAAAUUGUGUGCCAGUGCAGGUCUUGAUUAUAUCAACAAGUCUUUGACAUGAGAAGUCAUAACUGAGGAACAAAUUGCUCCUCCACUCCAUACUGGAUAUGUCCAUUCUGGUCCCUGUUGAUGCUACAUUUCCCAAAGUCUGUUGCAGUUUUAAUGCAGACAUUUUUAAUUGAAAGAACAGUGUUACUUUAAACCAUAUUUUUUUAAAAAUUGAAGUAUAGUAUUUUUAAAAAUUGAAGUAUAUGUCUUUACAAUGUUGUAUUUGUUUCAGUUGUAUAGCAAAGUGAUUCAUACGUAUAUACAUGUAUAUAUGUAUUCUUUUUCAGAUUCUUUUCCAUUGUUAGUUGUUAGCAGAUAUUGAAUGUAGUUCCCUGUGUAAUACAGUAGGUUCUUGUUGUUUGUCUAUUUUAUAUAUAAUCGUGUGUUUAUAUUAAUCUUAAACUCCUAAUUUAUCCUCCCCAUCCAUUAUCCUCUUUGGUAACCAUAAAUUUGUUUUCUAUAUCUGUGAGUCUAAUUCUGUUUUGUAAAUAAAUUCAUUCAUAUCAAUUUUUUAGAUUCCGUAUAUAAGUGAUAUCAUAUUUGUCUUUGAUGUCACUUAAUAUGGAAUUAGUUCAUUCUUUUUACGGCUGAGUAAUAUUCCAUUAUAUAUCUGUGUGUGUGUGUGUGUGUGUGUGUUUGUGUGUGUGUGUGUGUGUGUGUGUAAUGUGAUGAUAACAUACCACAUCCUCUUUACCCACUCAUUUGUCGAUGGUCAUUUAGGUUCCUUCCAUGUCUUGGUUAUUGUAAACAGCACUGCUAUGAACAUUGAGGUACAUGUGUCUUUUCAAAUUAUAGUUUGGAUCCAGAUAUAUGCCCAGGAAUGGUAUUUCUGGAUCAUAUGACAACUCUAUUUGAAGUUUUUUUGAAGAAUCUACUUACUGGUUUCCACAGUGGUUGCACCAAUUUACAUUCCCUCCAAUAGAGUAGGGUGGUUCCUGUUUCUCCACACUUUCUUCAGCAUUUAUUAUUUGCAGAUUUUUAAAUUAUGGCCAUUCUGACUGGGGUGACAUGAUACCUCAUUGCAGCUUUGGUUUGCAUUUCUGUGAUAAUUAGCUAUAUUAAGCAUCUUUUCAUAUAUUUCUUGUCCAUCUGUAUGUCUUUGUAGGAAUAUCUAUUUAGCAUAACAGAUAUUUUUUAAGCAAUGAUACUAUGCUAUGCACUUAUCUGGGAUAUUGUAGUACAUGGAUGGAAAAUAUAGAAUCUACCUAUAAUAAUUAUGUCAUUAAAUAAGGUAAGGCCAAACAUAAACAACAGUGUUAUAUGGUAAAAAGUAAAAAGAGAAAGAUAUACACGAUCUGAAGAGAAACCAGAGUAUGUAUGUAUGACUGGGCCCAUUGCUGUAGAGUAGAAAUUGACAUAACACUGUAAACCAACUAUGAUGGAAAAAAUAAAAAUCAUAAAUGAAAAAGUAAAAAAAGUGAGAAGUUUGGGUACCUUUGAAAGCAGAACCAGAAAUAACAAAAAAAUAUUGUGCUAAUUCUUUACCAAGGAUUGAUUACAACCCCAAGAAAGGAGGUAUGAAGAUAGGGAAGGAAAGGAGAAGAAAAAUUAUAAGGGGAUGUUCACCAAGCUGGACACCACUGGCUAAAAAGUGUCACUAAUUUCUCAGCCUCAUGGGACUUCCUAGAGGCCUGUGAAACCGGGUCUCAGAGAAGUGCCUGGUGAAUGGAGAAUUUAUUCACUUGCUCUUCUCUCCCACUGGUCAAACUUCAUGUAUAUCCCACUGGGUUUAAUACCUCAGAAGCAAAAGGGAUAUACAAAAAUGGAAGGCAAGAGGUUCAGAACAGACAUGAAAAAGGUCACUGUCAGGUUGUGCUCCUGUGCAUUCAGCCAGAGUCCACACAGGGCUGCUUGCUUCUGUGGCUGGUGGAUAAACAAGGGCCCCUGAAGCACCUGAGCACUGGUUUGGGGGUGGUGCAGAACCUGAGGUGAUGAGCAAGGGGAACUUGACAUGGUAACAUAAGUAAGGUCCAGGUAAAGUGCUUUGGGGACUCAGAGAAGGAAUUAUACCUUAGAAGGGGCAUUGGGGAUAGGAUGAUGAGGAAUGGUUUUUGGAGAAGGUGAAUCUUGAGUGAGACGUUGCUGAUGGGUGGACUGGGAGGUAUAGGUGUGUGGGAUGAAGCUGAGUAGAGAGGGCUUUCCACAAAAAGGAGAUCUUGAUUUCCAGGACAUAGAAGGGUGGUACUGAGGAUGGGUGGAGAAAAGUUUAGGGCUCAGUCUGGCCAAGGCAUGGGAAAUAUGAAAGGAUGUUGAAGGGUAAGGCUCAAAAUGUAGACGGGUAGCUGGUAGAGCCAGGGUGAGGAGAUUUGAUUGGAAUCCUUUGACGAUGGGGAGGGGAGACACUGCAAUAAAAGUUUUAAUUUAGGAAUUUGAGUCCCUCUUCUUCACUAACUCUGUUCUAUCUAAUUAUCCACUUGUGCACAAAAUAGCAUUUUGAACAAGAAUAUAAUGGACAGUUAUUUUGGAAUUUCAGAGAUCCAUGGAAUAUAUUUAAAAACUCAUUAAAAAAAGCUCAUUAAUAGAUCCAAACUAUUGCAUUUGGAGUGGAUAAGCAAUGAGAUCCUGUUGCAUAGCACAGCGAAAUAUAUCUAGUCACUUAUGAUGGAACAUGAUGGAGGAUAAUGUGAGAAAAAGAAUGCAUAUAUUUGUGCGACUGGGUCACGUAGCUGUACAGUAGAAAUUGACAGAACACUGUAAACCAACUAUAAUGGAAAAAAUAAAAAUCAUUAUAAAAAAGGCUCGGUAUGCUUACCUGUCCUUCUUUUUGGAUAAAUAUAUUGAAACUUGAAGCACAAAAUAGUCAAGAUUCUUACUCUUACUGGUGUAUUUACAGAGUCCAGGCAUGGGCUCAAGUUAGAGUUCAGAUGAUGUGCUCAGGACUCUGUACUCUGCCUCAUGACUGUCCAUUAUUCCAUACAGGGUUCAGUUUCAGAUAAGUGGCCUCAGGGUGGUGACAAGAGUCAUCAGUCGCUCUAGGACAGCUAGUGGGGAAAUAGGAUGUUUCAAGAAAGAAAGAAAGAAGGAAAGAAAGAAAGAAAGAAAGAAAGAAAGAAAGAAAGAAAGAAAGAAAGACAGACAAAGAAAAGGAAAAAGGGAGAAUGAAAAAGAAAAGAGGGAUGGAGGGAUACUGGCUAGAAGAUGCAAAAAUGGACAAACAAGAGAUCCACUAUGGUAUCAGAAAUAUAUUGUCUCUACUGAAACUGGAGCUUGGUUCCUGGAGUUGGUUAUGGAGAGCACAGGGGUGGAAAAUAGCCACUGACACUUUUUUUUUUUAAGGUCCCUGGGACAAGAUGGCUUAUAUUCAAUGUCUGAACUCAGUGAAAGCCAAGUCCAGUUUGAUCCUUUUCAAAAAAGCUGUACCCUACAUUCAGUGAUGAGCUUUCAACAUGUUUCAGUCUUUCUUCUCCUACAGAAUUGAAGUGGGAAGCUCCCCCUCUGAGUGUUCCAGGAGGAAUACCUGGGACUAUAACUUCAUUACCCAGGGUUUUGAAAGGGAGCUUAGACUCUAUCAAAGCAGUAUACUUAAAAAAAGGAAUUCUCCUAGAGAAUGAAAGAUGGCAUCUCAGCAUUUUGGGGUUUUGUGUCUUUCAUUCUCUCCCCUACUUGAAUUAACAUGAAGUCAAAACCAGAUCUUAGAGCAGAAUUGGCUGCCACGUAAUUUAGACAUGUUUGCAUAACAUUCCAAAAAUAAUUCAAUAAGAAUAGGUUUUUCUUGGAAUUUAUCACUGCCUGGUAAAUUAGAGCCCAAACACAACAACUUUGUGCUAAAAAGGCAUGAGACCCAGAAAAUGGAAAUGACAGUGGCAGAGGGAAAGGAAACCCAAGCAGCCAGUUGACCGUCAUUAUCCGUGAUGGUGUGAAGCAGAAAUAGGAAACAUGAGGAAGGAACAGGGACAAACACAGCCUGAGGUUCAGACUCCCCAUUUUCUCCAGGACUCAGCAAGAGCUGACAGGCCAAGGUGGCAAAAGAAGGGCAUCUUAGGUCUCAGAAAUGGUUCUGAGAAAUGCUCCCAUGCUGUAUUUUUCCAUUUUCUUCAGCUGCAGGUUUUCCUUUCUUAUGAGUUCAAAUGGAGAGGACCCACAGGUUCAGAAAAUAAUAAACCAACAUAAACAUAUAGGAGCACUAAAUAGGAGCUUAUAAGGAGAGGGUCAGAGUAUUAAGUUUAGAUCAGAAGAUCCAGAAUGCUUUCAGUCUCUACCUUUCUCAUGGGGACAAAUCAAGUAACUUCUUUGAAGGUGACUUCUCCACUUGUGAUGGAACAUGAUGGAAGAUUAUAUGACAAAAAGAGCAUAUAUAUACACACACACACACACACACACACACACACAUAUAUAUAUACAUAUGUAUAUAUAUAUGACUGGGUCACUUUGUUGUACAGUAGAAAUUGACAGAACACUGUAAAUCAACUAUAAUGGAAAAAUAAAAAUCAUAAAAAAUGAAACAAUAAAACAAAAUGGGGGAGAAGGGAAUUCCUGCCAUUGGUCAGUGGAGACAAACUAGACUAGUAUCCAUGAGGAUGUGUGUUUGAUCCCUGGCCUCACUCAGUGGGUUAAGGAUCCAGAGCUGCCAUGAGCUGUGGUGUUGGUCACAGACAUGGCUCAGAUCUGGCAUUGUUGUGAAUGUGGCCUAGGCUGGCAGCUGUAUCUUUGAUUCGACCCCUAGCCUGGGAACUUCCAUAUGCUGCAGGUGUGGCCUGAAAAAGAUGAAAAAUAAAAUAAUAAAAUAAAAUAAUAAAAUGGGGGAGAAUAAUUAGCUUGAAUCACAAUGAACAUCUUUACCAAUGUGGUACCUCAUAGCUGCAGGCCUUUUUUAAAUCCAUGUGAUAAAUAUAGGAGACCUCAGGUCUAACUCAGGCCAUUCACAGAUGACAAUUCCCUAGGGUAACGUUGUUAGGCUUAAAGCUAAAGUUCUUGUGGAGCAGAAUUUUGGACUUGGGUUACCUGCCUGUGUCUCGGUAACCUUUGGCUUCUUCCUCACUCUACACCUUAGUGACUGUGAACAUGGUAGGCAAAGUUGUCUCUGUUCCCUUAAAUAUUGGUGUCCUUAAAGCUCUUCUCUUCUUAUUAUUGUUCCCCAUCUUCUCAGUCAUCCCAUACAUGCUAUGACUAUACAUUCCUCCUGUGGGUGUAUGGCCCGGAAUCCAUACUUUAGCCUAGAAUUCUCAUCUGACCGUGAUGUCUACUCAACCACUCAGACAUCUGGCAACACCCCAUCU
rnacentral:lncRNA from 1 species